CGAUGUAGACACGGGGGCUUGCUUGGCAGGCUGAGAUGAAGCGAACGCUUCGACCGCAUGAACGUGAACCGGAUAAUGCCGGCGCACGGACGUCGUAUUUCCCGUGUC
rnacentral:ncRNA from 2 species